rnacentral:rRNA from 1 species
UUUGAUCCUGGCUCAGAUUGAACGCUGGCGGCAUGCCUUACACAUGCAAGUCGAACGGCAGCGCGGGAGCAAUCCUGGCGGCGAGUGGCGAACGGGUGAGUAAUACAUCGGAACGUGCCCAAUCGUGGGGGAUAACGCAGCGAAAGCUGUGCUAAUACCGCAUACGAUCUACGGAUGAAAGCAGGGGAUCGCAAGACCUUGCGCGAAUGGAGCGGCCGAUGGCAGAUUAGGUAGUUGGUGAGGUAAAGGCUCACCAAGCCUUCGAUCUGUAGCUGGUCUGAGAGGACGACCAGCCACACUGGGACUGAGACACGGCCCAGGCUCCUACGGGAGGCAGCAGUGGGGAAUUUUGGACAAUGGGCGAAAGCCUGAUCCAGCCAUGCCGCGUGCAGGAUGAAGGCCUUCGGGUUGUAAACUGCUUUUGUACGGAACGAAACGGCCUUUUCUAAUAAAGAGGGCUAAUGACGGUACCGUAAGAAUAAGCACCGGCUAACUACGUGCCAGCAGCCGCGGUAAUACGUAGGGUGCAAGCGUUAAUCGGAAUUACUGGGCGUAAAGCGUGCGCAGGCGGUUAUGUAAGACAGUUGUGAAAUCCCCGGGCUCAACCUGGGAACUGCAUCUGUGACUGCAUAGCUAGAGUACGGUAGAGGGGGAUGGAAUUCCGCGUGUAGCAGUGAAAUGCGUAGAUAUGCGGAGGAACACCGAUGGCGAAGGCAAUCCCCUGGACCUGUACUGACGCUCAUGCACGAAAGCGUGGGGAGCAAACAGGAUUAGAUACCCUGGUAGUCCACGCCCUAAACGAUGUCAACUGGUUGUUGGGUCUUCACUGACUCAGUAACGAAGCUAACGCGUGAAGUUGACCGCCUGGGGAGUACGGCCGCAAGGUUGAAACUCAAAGGAAUUGACGGGGACCCGCACAAGCGGUGGAUGAUGUGGUUUAAUUCGAUGCAACGCGAAAAACCUUACCCACCUUUGACAUGUACGGAAUUCGCCAGAGAUGGCUUAGUGCUCGAAAGAGAACCGUAACACAGGUGCUGCAUAGCUGUCGUCAGCUCGUGUCGUGAGAUGUUGGGUUAAGUCCCGCAACGAGCGCAACCCUUGUCAUUAGUUGCUACAUUCAGUUGGGCACUCUAAUGAGACUGCCGGUGACAAACCGGAGGAAGGUGGGGAUGACGUCAAGUCCUCAUGGCCCUUAUAGGUGGGGCUACACACGUCAUACAAUGGCUGGUACAAAGGGUUGCCAACCCGCGAGGGGGAGCUAAUCCCAUAAAACCAGUCGUAGUCCGGAUCGCAGUCUGCAACUCGACUGCGUGAAGUCGGAAUCGCUAGUAAUCGUGGAUCAGAAUGUCACGGUGAAUACGUUCCCGGGUCUUGUACACACCGCCCGUCACACCAUGGGAGCGGGUUCUGCCAGAAGUAGUUAGCUUAACCGCAAGGAGGGCGAUUACCACGGCAGGGUUCGUGACUGGGGUGAAGUCGUAACAAGGUA